CCCUAGUAACGGCGAGUGAAGCGGCAACAGCUCAAAUUUGAAAUCUGGCCUUCGGGUCCGAGUUGUAAUUUGUAGAGGAUGCUUUUGGCGCGGUGCCUUCCGAGUUCCCUGGAACGGGACGCCUUAGAGGGUGAGAGCCCCGUAUGGUUGGACACCAAGCCUCUGUAUAGCUCCUUCGACGAGUCGAGUAGUUUGGGAAUGCUGCUCUAAAUGGGAGGUAAAUUUCUUCUAAAGCUAAAUAUUGGCCAGAGACCGAUAGCGCACAAGUAGAGUGAUCGAAAGAUGAAAAGCACUUUGAAAAGAGGGUUAAAUAGCACGUGAAAUUGUUGAAAGGGAAGCGUUUGCGACCAGACCUUUUCCUAGCGGAUCAUCCGGUGUUGUCACCGGUGCACUUCGCUAGGUUUAGGCCAGCAUCGGUUUCUGUAGGGGGAUAAAAGCUCUGAGAAUGUAGCUCCUCCGGGAGUGUUAUAGCCCUCUGCAUAAUACCCUUACGGGGACCGAGGACCGCGCUUCGGCAAGGAUGCUGGCGUAAUGGUCGUCAACGACCCGUCUUGAAACACGGACCAAGGAGUCGAACAUUUGUGCGAGUGUUUGGGUGUUAAACCCUCACGCGUAAUGAAAGUGAACGGAGGUGAGAGCCCUCACGGGUGCAUCAUCGACCGAUCCUGAUGUCUUCGGAUGGAUUUGAGUAAGAGCAUAACUGUUCGGACCCGAAAGAUGGUGAACUAUGCGUGGAUAGGGUGAAGCCAGGGGAAACCCUGGUGAAAGCUCGCAGCGGUUCUGACGUGCAAAUCGAUCGUCAAAUCUGCGCAUGGGGGCGAAAGACUUAUCGAACCAUCUAGUAGCUGGUUACCGCCGAAGUUUCCCUCAGGAUAGCAGUGUUGUUCUUCAGUUUUAUGAGGUAAAGCGAAUGAUUAGGGACUCGGGGGCGCUUUUUUGCCUUCAUCCAUUCUCAAACUUUAAAUAUGUAAGAAGCCCUUGUUACUUAGUUGAACGUGGGCAUUCGAAUGUACCAACACUAGUGGGCCAUUUUUGGUAAGC
rnacentral:rRNA from 1 species